rnacentral:rRNA from 1 species
CCUACGGGAGGCAGCAGUAGGGAAUCUUCCGCAAUGGACGAAAGUCUGACGGAGCAACGCCGCGUGAGUGAAGAAGGUUUUCGGAUCUCAAAACUCUGUUGUUAAAGAAGAACAAGGAUGAGAGUGACUGCUCAUCCCCUGACGGUAUUUAACCAGAAAGCCACGGCUAACUACGUGCCAGCAGCCGCGGUAAU